GAUACUGCAAGGAUGGAAAUAUGAAUAUGUGAUUUUCCCCUUCCUUUUCCAAAUAUUUCCAGCUGAGAGCAUCAUAUAUGUAUGUUUUGUACAUCUCUGCCCAUGAGCAUUUCAAGCUUUCAUUAACCUGAAUCUCACUGUGGUUCUGUCAAGGAAUUGCAGUAGCUCUGGAGGUGAUGACUGGAAGCCCUGGAAGUGCAAAAUAAUUUUUUUUUCCCAAGGAAAAAUGAAGAAAUUAGCCACAAGAGAAA